rnacentral:rRNA from 1 species
CCUACGGGAGGCAGCAGUGGGGAAUAUUGGGCAAUGGGCGCAAGCCUGACCCAGCAACGCCGCGUGAAGGAAGAAGGCUUUCGGGUUGUAAACUUCUUUUAAGAGGGAAGAGCAGAAGACGGUACCUCUUGAAUAAGCCACGGCUAACUACGUGCCAGCAGCCGCGGUAAUACGUCGGUGGCAAGCGUUGUCCGGAUUUACUGGGUGUAAAGGGCGUGCAGCCGGGCAGACAAGUCAGAUGUGAAAUCCCGCGGCUCAACCGCGGAACUGCAUUUGAAACUGUUUGUCUUGAGUACCGGAGAGGUCAUCGGAAUUCCUUGUGUAGCGGUGAAAUGCGUAGAUAUUAGGAGGAACACCGGCGGCGAAGGCGGCCUGCUGGACCGUAACUGACGUUGAGGCUCGAAAGCGUGGGGAGCAAACAGGAUUAGAUACCCGGGUAGUC